GGCUGCUUUGGGCACCACUGCCCGGUUGGUGCAGUUGUCAAUCUCAGCAAAGAUAGGGAUGACCUCACCAGGGGUGUAGCCUUUGCGGUCGAUCUUGGCACUCACUGAGACCUGGCCGCGAUUGCAGUACCAGGCGCGGGCGAGUUUCUCCUUAGCACCCGCCUGAGGAGCCAGCAGUGCAGGUGUGUUGAUGUCGAUGGGUUCGAUGACGGUGAACUCCUUCUUCACCUUUUUCA
rnacentral:lncRNA from 1 species